GGCCGCUUGGUCUAGUAGUAUGAUUCCUGUUUUGGGCGUACAGGAGGUCGCGAGUUCAAUUCUCGCAGCGGCCC
rnacentral:tRNA from 1 species